AAGAGGACGAGGAUGCUGAGGACGGUACGUGGUGUUUGGGUUUUUUGUUUCUUUGGUGAUUGGAUAGGAUGCGGCGCAUUUGCUUGUGUAUUGUGAAAUUAGGGUUAAAAGAUGAAUACUGGUACUUCAAUUCACGAAUGAUUGACAUUUUGAUUUUUUGAGGUUUUGAGUGAAAUUGGUUUUCAUUGGAACUCUGAUUCGGAAGUCUAGUAGAAAUAGUAGUUGGCUUGUGAAUAUGGGCGAAAUUAGAGCUGAGUGUGUUUGAUUCACGUUUAGAAAAGAAAAAGACUUUGUUUUUA
rnacentral:misc_RNA from 1 species